UGUCCUGUGCUAGUUUUGCUUUAGUGAACUAGUCUGGGAGUGACAGUCCUCUUUGUGGUGGUGCAAGAGGAAUGAAAUCUCCAGUCAGUCUUUCUGGGUAUGGCGCUAUGGAAUUGAAACUGUUGAAUUUUUAUUUUGAUGUUGAUCAUCACAUUUUUUUUUUGCAUUUACCAUAGUUUGACACCCAAUAGCCGAUGUAUUUUUCAUGCUGGGGUGUCGUUAAACAUUCGUUCAUUCAUUCAUUCUAUGGAGUUGAAUGCAAUCACAGUGAACAGGGGGAUAUGGGUUAACUUUUAAAAACAAUUCUUCAAAAAUAUUUGGGUAAGGUGCCAUAUCCGUUUUACCCUGGCAGUGAGGGAUCUCCGCGGAGUGACUGUCCUCCUAAUGACGAAAAACUAGAAGGAGAUUCAUGGAAUCAUCCACUAUUUUAGCAAAUGCCCAUUUGCAUUGUACAGAUACAGCCCUGAUCAUGUAUUACGGUUUUGUCGUUUCUUCUUUUGUGAUGUUUUCUCUUGCAGUGUUUGGGAAGCGGGCUGCUCACUGUCAACACGAUACAGACUGUCACUACGGCCAGUGCUGUGAGUCAGGGACGUGCUCACACGCUCACUGUGUGACGACCUAAGUGUGUAAACUGGACAGUGACUGUCCGUCGUACCACUGCUGUGAAAACAGUGUGUGUGUGUCAGAUCAAAGUACCAACACUGCGAAGGUUUUGGACCGAAUAAGUUUUGUUUUGGUGUUUGUUAGGAUUUGUUUAUUGCGUGUUUGGAAAACGAGCUGACCAGUGCAGACAUGAUGAUGACUGUCCUAAUGGAGAAUGCUGUGAUCUCGGGAAUGUCAUCACACCCACUGUGGAUCUUUCCAGGGCUGCACCUCAAGCCGUCAGUGUCACGACACUCACUGCUGUCAUAACGGACAGUGUGUUCACCGAUCUCACGGCUUCUGUUAGAACUUUACGACAUUCAGUAACAGAAUCAAGAACUCAGAAUCUGCCCCAACGAUGUGUACAACAACCAUUAAACACAGACGUAUUGGUUUACAUAUUAUUACAUCUGAGAAAU